UAGCGAAGGGGGCUAGCGGUUGCUUCGGAAUGACUGGGCGUAAAGGGCGCGUAGGCGGACGGCUUUGUCGGGCGAGAAAUUCCAGGGCUUAACCUUGGGGCUGCGUUCGAGACGGGUUGUCUAGAGUUUGGAAGAGGGUCGUGGAAUUCCCAGUGUAGAGGUGAAAUUCGUAGAUAUUGGGAAGAACACCGGUGGCGAAGGCGGCGACCUGGUCC
rnacentral:rRNA from 1 species